GUCUGACCUUUCUGGCUGGAUUUGGACUGUUCACCCCCUCUCAGUUAUGACUGCAGAUCCCCACUUCUGCUUGCCCAAACCUUUUUGAAUUUGGGGAGCAAUUAACUUAGAAGUUGAAGACUUCGGCUGAGCUAGAUUGACACACAAUGACGUUCAGACAGCAAAAAUAGCCGGACCAAUGGAUGUGUGCUUGCAGCUGAGAUGUCGUUUGCAAAGAUAGGUGGUAGUAUGGGAAAAAAGAAGAGGAAAUGGAUGCAGAUUGGUACCUGGAGGUGGAUGAGCGCGGUCCACACUGCAAGAAGUAGGGAGACGAAACUGAAUCCCUGUAAGGAGCAAGCAACACCAGUUAGAAAGGACUGAUGCAGGACUGAACAGCAGGUGUCCAGGAAACAUUAAGAUAACAGAGCCGAGAUUAAACUUUAAUGAUCCCCGUGGAGGGCGUCUUGGGUCACUGCAGCAGCACACCAAAAAAUGAAGGUCAAAACCAACGGAUAUGUGCUUUUCUGGGCAAAAGAAAGGAGCUAAGCGGAGCGCAAGACACUGUCCCAGGUGUUAGUUCCUCCAGAAGGUCUGGAUCUGUACCCCACUUCCUCUACCAGAGCUAGCCAGCACUGACGGGAUGCCAUCCCCACACAACACUCGGCAAGUAGCUAGCGGCAUAAUUUACAUAUUGUGGAUGUAAAUGAUGAUUAAAAACAAUAAUACUUUACUAUUAGUUUUUAAAAAAUCAUCCUGCAGCCUGGUGAUGAAAACAACUAUACAUUUCCAUGUGAAGAUCAUACUGAACUAACUUUCUGUUUAAAAAUGUGUGAAUUCAUGAAAAACACUGUGCUGUCCUUCAACAGAUUGUGUUGAAGUGACCUUGAGCAAGGCACUUUCCUCCAGCAGAGCUCCAUGACAGGCCGGUGUUGGUCUGACUGCUGUGUCACUGGCAGCUCCUGCAGGGUUUGAUAUCAGCAGUGAACUGGCAAAGCACAGGCUCAGCAUAUAUCUCCUCAAAAACAGUCCUCAUUAUCGACAUCCACCUCAGCUACACCUUCACAGGCUGUCUCCUCCUACACACCUUAAACUUCUCUCUUUGUGUUUUACCUGCAGCCAGAAGAGGACAACAUUAGGCUGAAUCUCUGAGCCAAAGACUCAUUAAGAUCUUGUUUCCUGUUGCCCUCCUCAAUCUUUGUAAUUAUAAUAAUUAGGAUAGUUUACGUUUUGGGAUGCAUUCCUCAUUCGUAGGAAAGUCAACUAGUUUCAUUUUGAAAUGCCUGAAGCUUUAGAGACAGUGUUUAUGGUAAUGAAGUGAGUGGGAUUAGUGUGAAGGAACAUUUUGAUUGAUUUUUGAUGCUGAAAAACUGAUUUUUAAGCGUGUUCUGGUGUGCAGGUCACUGCGGGUUCGGUGCACAAAACAGCCAAAAAGCUGAAAACUGCUUGCAUCUCUUAACCUUUGCUCACACAGCAGAGUGAGGUGAAUAGAUUUUACACAGCGCAAAUCAAUCUGCGCUGACAACACGACCAAACAGAGAUGACAUAACCGUGGCAACAAUAAAAGGAACACGGUGUUCACUGUUAUGGAUUACCUCGGUCAGAAAAUGUCAAGUCUGUGCCACAAGAUUUUAGCUAAACAGAGGCGAAAUUGGAUCUGUCUGGGAGGUAAAUCAGAGGAAACAGUGAUAAAGAUGGUGGACAUGUUGCGCAUAAAUGUGGGCAAAACCUCCUCAAAACACUGUUAUCGUGCGUGGAGCUUUAAAAACGUUUGCAAAGAUGUGAUUUUCACAAUCAUUUCACAGGGUUAGGGAAAUUCUUGUGCUAAAACUAUCCAAUCAGCCUUCAAACAGGUUACCUUGCUAA